GACGAACGCUGGCGGCGUGCUUAACACAUGCAAGUCGAACGGAAAGGCCCUUCGGGGUACUCGAGUGGCGAACGGGUGAGUAACACGUGGGUGAUCUGCCCUGCACUUUGGGAUAAGCCUGGGAAACUGGGUCUAAUACCGAAUAGGACCACGCGCUUCAUGGUGUGUGGUGGAAAGCUUUUGCGGUGUGGGAUGGGCCCGCGGCCUAUCAGCUUGUUGGUGGGGUAAUGGCCUACCAAGGCGACGACGGGUAGCCGGCCUGAGAGGGUGACCGGCCACACUGGGACUGAGAUACGGCCCAGACUCCUACGGGAGGCAGCAGUGGGGAAUAUUGCACAAUGGGCGCAAGCCGGAUGCAGCGACGCCGCGUGAGGGAGGACGGCCUUCGGGUUGUAAACCUCUUUCAAUAGGGACGAAGCGCAAGUGACGGUACCUAUAGAAGAAGCACCGGCCAACUACGU
rnacentral:rRNA from 1 species